rnacentral:lncRNA from 1 species
UAUUAGGCGAGGACUAACUGUACUCCCUUUUUCAUGGGACUCAAUUAAUGUGGUUUUUAUUUUGAAUAAGCCAAAAGCAUGUCUGAUAGACACUUUCAUUUUUUCUGUAUUGGCUAAAAUGCCCCAAAAAUGGCUUGGCGCCAAUCAUCCAGUAUGAUUUUAUUUUUGCAAAAAGUUCUAGAACUCUUUCCUCCAGAAGCCUGACACUUUUUACAAAUUACGCUUCAUACUUUCAAUGUAAUUAUCAGCCUUUGACCUCUGUUGAAGUGCAAAGACCAAUAGGAGGGAUGAAGCACUAAACUGCUAUUGGUUUCUGUGUUAAUGAAGCAUUGAGAUAAGGUUCCAAUGGGAGAGGAGGUUGAAGGAAAGACUUUUUAAAAAAAAUGUGGCAUUGUUAGAUGCUUAGACAGGUACUGGAAGGUUUAGGUGGGGAAGCACUCUGAAAGGCUGGAUUUACUCUGAUUCAAAGGAAGUAUACAGAUGGGGUUCUUAGCUCAUGAAAGUUAGUAGCUACUACUAUGGUUCAGCUGCAAAGAGUGCACCUGUGAUACCAGCUCCUAGCAAUCCAACACCAAUAAUCUUGAUUCUGCAAAUUUUCACUUCCAAGAAGUUUACAAAACACAUCUGUAAUAUUUAAAGAAAGAAAAAAUAUUUCCUGGAACUUUCACCUUUAGUGAGUUAGAAGAAUGCCAUUUGAAGUAAAUAGAGAUUCAUUGUUUCUCUGUAUUUCUCAAAGAAUCAGUAGAGAUAUUGAGAGGAAAAAGUUCUUUCUCAUAUAAAUUUGGAAUAUUGGAAAGAAAUUACUGGAAGAAAAGAAAAUAUUAGAAACAUGGGUAGUGAUGAAGCAAAGAAUCUGAAAUGCUUCACUCAAAACCUCUUGAACUGUGGAAACGAUGGGGAAGAGAGUAUGUCAAAUGAGAUCCCGGGGAAGGAAUGCGAGCUUGAUAGCUUGACCAACAGCAACAAAAUGACCUGAGAACUUACUAGAAAUGCAAAUCCUUGGGCCUCACCUUAGACUGAAUCAGAAACUCUGGGAGUGGGGCCAGCAAUCUGUUUUGACAAGCCCUUUGGGUGAUUCAAUUGCUGAUUAAAGUGAGAAAAUCACCACUUGAGUGCAGCAAGGAGAGCAGUGUGUUGGGAUGACAUGGGAGGUUUAAAAAUCUGUCAAAUAACAACAACAAAAAAAAUUCUUGUCCCUGUCAUCAACUUCCAUGUCAUGAGGAUAAAAGGGAAGUUUGAAAAAUUAUUUGAGAAAAUAUGGUAAGACUGGCAGCAAAUUGUAACUUUAAAAAUUAGUAGGCACAUUAGGCAAGCUUCUACCACACCUCUUUCUUACCCAGAUUCACACACACAAACCAGGCUGUCCAAAGCACAGUCCUGCUUAAUUAGAUACUGAGGAGCCAAAACUUUUCCACCCCCUCCCCUCAGUCCCUAAGACACAACACAUCAGUUUCCAUGAUUGCUGUUCAGCAGAACCAGGCCAAUCUGGUUUUUUGCAGCUUGCCUAUUAAAAAGUGACUUUCACACCCUCCUGGGUUAUGUACCAAGACCUUUGCCCUUUUGUGGCUUAGCAGAAUGAUUUAUUUGUGUCAUUAGUCAAUCUAUUAUUUCAUCCAAAAUAUUUCCAUUACCUGAAA